rnacentral:rRNA from 1 species
UACGGAGGGUGCGAGCGUUGUCCGGAAUCACUGGGCGUAAAGGGCGCGUAGGCGGCAGGCCAAGCGUGCGGUGAAAGUCCGGGGCUCAACCCCGGAUCUGCCGUGCGGACUGGUUUGCUAGAGCACUGUAGAGGCGAGUGGAAUUCCGGGUGUAGCGGUGGAAUGCGUAGAUAUCUGGAGGAACACCGGUGGCGAAGGCGGCAUCCUGGACCGACACUGACGCUGAGGAGCGAAAGCCAGGGGAGCAAACGGG